rnacentral:rRNA from 1 species
GACGAACGCCGUCGGCAUGCCUAACACAUGCAAGUCGAACGGAGAUAGCAAUAUCUUAGUGGCGGACGGGUGAGUAAUGGAUGAGUAAUCUGCCUCAUACACUGGGAUAACACAGAGAAAUUUGUGCUAAUACCGGAUGAGACCACACUACCGCAUGGUAGAGGGGUCAAAGGGCUUUACUGGUAUGAGAUGAGCUCAUCUCCCAUUAGCUAGUUGGUAAGAUAACAGCCUACCAAGGCGACGAUCAGUAGCCGGUCUGAGAGGAUGAACGGCCACAUUGGGACUGAGAUACGGCCCAGACUCCUACGGGAGGCAGCAGUGGGGAAUAUUGGGCAAUGGGGGAAACCCUGACCCAGCAACGCCGCGUGAAGGAAGAAGGCUUUCGGGUUGUAAACUUCUUUUACCAGGGGCGAAGAAAGUGACGGUACCUGGAGAAAAAGCCACGGCUAACUACGUGCCAGCAGCCGCGGUAAUACGUAGGUGGCAAGCGUUGUCCGGAAUUACUGGGUGUAAAGGGAGCGCAGGCGGGAGACCAAGUCAGCUGUGAAAACUACGGGCUUAACCUGUAGACUGCAGUUGAAACUGGUUUUCUUGAGUGAAGUAGAGGUUGGCGGAAUUCCGAGUGUAGCGGUGAAAUGCGUAGAUAUUCGGAGGAACACCGGUGGCGAAGGCGGCCAACUGGGCUUUAACUGACGCUGAGGCUCGAAAGUGUGGGGAGCAAACAGG